AAAAUUAUAAUUAAAAAUAACAAGAGACGCAUUUGUUCUUCACUUUCGUACAUUAAUUCAAUGCAUGAUCAUUAUUAUUGAGACACGUUCAAUCUUAUUGAGUUUUUAUUUAUUACAACCUCAAAAUACAUGUUGAAAAUGUUUGAGUUGUUGGUUGUUCGUUCUUAUCCACAAACACAAUUACCCCGAUAACAAAAAGCUCCUGCUAAUCCAUGACAAAGUUCCGGAGGGUAAGCAAUGCAAUCUUGGGUUUUUGAACAUGGAUAGAACAUGGAUAUCUUGGUUUAUUCCUAGAUGAAACACCUGCAAAAUUAAAUGUGUUACAACUAUUAUAAUUCAAUAUUUAAUAUAUAAACAUUUUUUCUACUAUUCAUCUUAACAACUUUGUUUUUAUUUAAUGAGUGUUUUUAUUUAGUGGGUAACGGAUAAAACAUUAAGGAAUCGUUACACAUCAGUUAAUAGUUGAUCUAUAACAUAUUAUUAAGAUAAACAAUAAUAUAAAUAGAACUAUCAAAAGAAGAAUUAGAUAUGUGUUUUUUUUAUAUUCUACGAUAACACAUUUAAAAUCCUAGCACUGACUCUUAAGCGUCGGAGUGCAAUCGCAAGUAUCCCUACCACCCGAAUACUAGCAUGAUCGACCUAAUACCAACAUGAUGAGAAGGAGACUCAAAGGAAUCUUAAAACCAUCGACACAUUAACAAUUGUACACCUGGCGGCAUCUACUACCCGGGACCCUCUUUCCACACAGGUAUAAUAUCAUCUCAAUAAAUAAGGUUAUCUCUAACUCAACUUUUAAAUUUAGUUAAUAAAAUUCGCAAAAUAUCACCUACAAUAUUAGAAAGUUAACUGGAAAAUAAAUACAAUAAGAAGCUUGAAUGAAAGAAUGUUGAAGAAAAACUACUUCAUUAAGAAGAUGUGUAUUUUGUUAAAUUUGAAUUGUUAUACCUGAUCCUCCUUUUCUGAAAUUGCAUUGACACUUUCUUUCUCCAUUGAUAGCAACACAACGAACUGAUUCUCUAGGACAACCCAAAAGGGGAAGGAUUUGGAUGCAAUCUUUAUCAACAAAACAUUGAUCCUGAUCAACAGCUAUUGUGUCUGUUCUUGUUGUCUUUGAAGGUGAAACACCUGAAAUCUUACAUCUAUACUUUUAAAACUUGUGAAUAUCACUAAUAUAUAUAUAUAUAUAUAUAUAUGGUCGUAAAUGAAUAUAUUUUAGUUCUAAUUGAUUAAUUAAUUUUGUAAUUAGAUCAAAUGAUAAAUGAUAAUGUGGUUACUUUUACAUCAAUUUUUAAAUAUUUAUAAUUUAAAUUAAAUAUAAUUGUGUAUUUAUAUUUUUUAAAUAUUAUAUAAUAAUUUAAAUUAUACUCUAAGGUGAUUUAGGUCAGACUAAUGAGUUAGAUUCUUUUUAUCAGCAAAUAAUUAAGAAUUUUCCUUUAUCAGAAAAAAAAUUAAGAUUUUUUUCUUCAUCAGGAAAAAAAUUAAGAAUUUUUCCUUUAUCAGCAAAAAUGUUACGAAUUUUUCCUUUAUCAGAAAAAAAUUACAAAUCUUUCCUUUAUCAGCAAAAAAAAUUACGAAUCUUUCCUUUAUCAGCAAAAAAAAAUUAAGAUUUUUUCCUUUAUCAGCAAAAAAAUUAAGAAUUUUUUCCUUAUAUUUGCAAAAAAAAUAAGAAUUUUUCUUUAUAAAAAAAAACAAAUAAGAACCACUUCAAGAGUGAUCUAACCCUUACACAAAACAUAAACACAAACACUUCUCACUAGGAGGUGGCAAAGUGGGACAAGUCAUGCAGGCUGGCCCACUGAAAAAAACGCGAGGCAGGUUGCUCAUUUCAACCUGCUGGCCCGCUUAAUCCCCCCACAUAACCCGCAGCUUGCGCGGGUCAAGUGCGGGGCGGGUUGACCCGCAUAACUUUAAAAUGUAUAAUUUUUUUUCUACACCCUCAUAUUUUCUUCAUGUAGCCUCAUAUUUUACAUUCUGAAAUUUUUAAUAGCAUCUUACUACGCAUGUUUCAUGAAAAUAAUAUUAUGAAACCAUUUACCUAAUGCAUCUAAAUAAAUAAAAAAAUUCAAAAUUUUUAUUUAAAAAAAUAAUUUUUUAAUAAAUAUUUCUUAUGCGGACCAACCCUCAUGCGGAACAGACUACAAAAAUCAGCUCACAAAUUCUAUGCGGAGCAGGCCUAUGCGGGACGGGCCAACCCGCAUUGCCACCCCUACUUCUCAUCCAACAAACCCAAACUCAUAAAGGGGUAUAAACAACACACAAUCAAACAAACACCAACUAGAUUGAAAUCAGACAAAUGACGGAUUCCAGACUUUCGAAUUAAAAAAAAAAAAAUUCAGACACCAAACUGAAAAAAAAAUCAAGUAAAAAGAUAUUUAGCAGUAGAUCAAACCUUUAAUUGAAAAAAAAAAUAUUACUUGCCCUACACAUACAAAAUGAAUUACCCUGCACAUACAAAAUGAAGUGACAAAAAUGGACUAAGAAACUUCACUAAAUUAAUGUUAGUUUAAUACUAAAUAUAAUAUCAAUUGUAACAAAUACCUUGAGAAGCUGCUAUUGCAAGAAAGACAAACAAAAAUGCAAAUGUGAAUGAGGGAUUUGACAUAUCUCCUAAAUUGCAAUAUUUUGAUAUAUAAAAAGAGAAAGAGAAGAAGGUUUUAUGUUUCUUCAAACAUGUU
rnacentral:lncRNA from 1 species